ACGACACCCCGUCCCCUCCCAUCCCCGCUUACCCCGCCGUCCAAUGGCAGACGGGCAUUUUAUCAAGCUAUCUCCUCUGAGCCAAUCCCGGGCCUCCCGGUGAUCCCUGUAAACCGGAUGCCCUCCCUCCUGCCUCUCAAACAGACGUAAUCUGUGGAUCGGAGAGGCAGGCAGGCGCUCAGUCGGUGGAGAGUCGGUCUCGGACGGAAGUGAUGAGAGUGAAAAUACCCGCUGUGGCAGACUUGAAGAAACCGCAUCAGUCCACCUCGAGUAAAACAGGAGGAGAAAGGAAGGGGAAAAAAUGUUGUGUUUAUAUUGUGUCUCUUGAUGCUGACUUUAGUGAAUCCAUGAAGAUAAUUUCCAUCAGGUAUAUUUCACAUCAUCAUUUAAACAUUUUCAUAAAAUCCCUACUUUCUCUAUUACUGGAUAUUCACCAUGUGUCACAUUCUUUUGUCCUCUUUCUCGGUGGAGCAGCAUCAGAGAGAGAUGACUAA
rnacentral:lncRNA from 15 species